UGAUCUGAUUCUGCAAUUCUUCUGCCCUU
rnacentral:piRNA from 1 species